rnacentral:rRNA from 1 species
CAUCGAUGAAGAACGUAGCGAACUGCGAUACUUGGUGUGAAUUGCAGAAUCCCGUGAACCAUCGAGUCUUUGAACGCAAGUUGCGCCCGAAGCCUUCGGGUGAGGGCACGUUUGCCUGGGUGUCA